rnacentral:lncRNA from 1 species
AAAAUUGAGUUUUCAAGUCGGUAGGGUAAAGGCGAAUUAGUUGAUUUCUGGUGCUUGGAAUCGCGUUUUAAGGUGUGUUUCUUAAACACUAGUAAUUAUGGGUGUUUUUAGGCUAAUUUUCCUGAUUUUCAGCAGGAUUUGGUAUGGUUUUUGGACCACACGGUUGUGUGUCGUUUCAAAAGCUAGGGUAAUUUUCGAGUCAUAGGGCCUGAAGUGAGUUACACGGGCUGGCCACAAGCUGUGUGACCACUGUUGGAGGUUUUGUUGAUUGCACACGACCUUGGAGGCUUCCACACGGCCUGAGACUCGACCGUGUCUCCCUCGCUCCUUAUUGUAAAAUUUUUUCACGGGCUCAAAGAGUUAUACGGUCAACCCACAAGACCAUGUCUCUCAGCCACAUGACCAUGUACCCUUGUCACACAGUCUGAACCUUCCUACACGACCAUGUGGUCUUUUUUUUUAAAGUUUUUUUUCUCUAUUUUGCAAAUUGAUUUGUUUUAGUCCCUGAGUGAUUUCUUACAUGUUUAAGCCUCUGUAGAAGGGUUUGAGACACUAAUUCUGAUUGUAGGAAGUCCAUAAAAGGUGUAUUAUUGUUGGAUUAUGUUAUAUAUGUAUUAAUUAGAUUUAAUUUUGAUAUUUGUUUGUGUUCUUAAUAUAACUUUGCUAUGAUAUUUUUUUAUUUAUGAGAUGGUACUCUGUAUGUGAAUCAGUAUCUGCAUACGCUGUUGACUUUGAUAAUUUAUGUCAAUUGUAUCUUGUGGAGUACUGGAAAUUGAAUAUGAGUAUGUCUAUCUCGAUAUAUCUGUAUGUUUUGAGAGUAGUGUAUAUGCAUUAUGGUUGGGAUUGAUAUUGAAGAGAAGGAAGUUCAUUUUGGCAGUUAAAUUUCAUUUUUAUAAGUUGGUGGUAAAACUGCAAUAGUGAUUAGCAACUUGACUGCUUUACAUUUAAGUGGCUUGACCACCUCAAGGUGUGAUUUGGUUGGAUGGGUCCACCAUAACCCAAUAUUGGUGUGUAGAGGUUAGAAAGGGUCUAGCAUACCCUUAUUAGUGUGAAAUGGAUGAUGGAGUUGGUGUGUAGCGGUUGGAUAGGUAGGACUUUGCACCAUAUUACUUAUGAAUACGUUUUGCAUAUCUGUUUAGUGAUAAAAUAAUAUGAUUCGCUAAUCUGGUAUAAUCUCUGUUUCUGGUUUGAUUAUGGUAAUUGUAAAUUUGAUUGAUUGUUUGUUGUUACGUCGUUACUUUUGUUUAAGACUCACACUAAGUUUCGUAGCUCACCUUCUUAGUUUACUCUUUUCAGGUAAUCAACGAGGUUAGAUUUUGGACUCAACGAAUUGGAGGUCUCAAAGUUUCUCGUUUCGGCUUGGUUUUUAAUUAAGUCCUCAUAAAGUUUGAUAAUAUGUUUUCGGCCAGAUUUGUAAAUAAUUUUUAUAUGAACAGUAGUAUGGUUUUCUUUGGUUUUGAACUAAAUUCGUGAUUUCAUGCAUGGGUUUAAGUUAACUGAAAUGUUAUCUUCAUUAAUAAUAACUCAAUUUUUAGGUAACUGUUUAUGGUUUUCAAACAAGAUAAAAUGUUAUAAUAUUACG